rnacentral:rRNA from 2 species
AUAGGUGGGAGGCUUUGAAGCGUGGACGCCAGUCUGCGUGGAGCCGACCUUGAAAUACCACCCUUUAAUGUUUGAUGUUCUAACGUGGACCCGUAAUCCGGGUUGCGGACAGUGUCUGGUGGGUAGUUUGACUGGGGCGGUCUCCUCCUAAAGAGUAACGGAGGAGCACGAAGGUUGGCUAAUCCUGGUCGGACAUCAGGAGGUUAGUGCAAUGGCAUAAGCCAGCUUGACUGCGAGCGUGACGGCGCGAGCAGGUGCGAAAGCAGGUCAUAGUGAUCCGGUGGUUCUGAAUGGAAGGGCCAUCGCUCAACGGAUAAAAGGUACUCCGGGGAUAACAGGCUGAUACCGCCCAAGAGUUCAUAUCGACGGCGGUGUUUGGCACCUCGAUGUCGGCUCAUCACAUCCUGGGGCUGAAGUAGGUCCCAAGGGUAUGGCUGUUCGCCAUUUAAAGUGGUACGCGAGCUGGGUUUAGAACGUCGUGAGACAGUUCGGUCC